rnacentral:rRNA from 1 species
GACGAACCGUGCAAACGUUGUUCGGAAUCACUGGGCUUAAAGGGCGCGUAGGCGGGUGCUCAAGUCCGUGGUGAAAUCCUCCGGCUCAACCGGAGAACUGCCUCGGAUACUGGGUGCCUCGAGGGUGGUAGGGGUAUGCGGAACUAUCGGUGGAGCGGUGAAAUGCGUUGAUAUCGAUAGGAACUCCGGUGGCGAAGGCGGCAUACUGGACCACCUCUGACGCUGAGGCGCGAAAGCCAGGGGAGCAAACGGG